rnacentral:rRNA from 1 species
UACGUAGGGGGCUAGCGUUGUCCGGAAUCAUUGGGCGUAAAGAGCGUGUAGGCGGCCCGGUAAGUCCGCUGUGAAAGUCCAGGGCUCAACCCUGGGAUGCCGGUGGAUACUGUCGGGCUCGAGUCCGGAAGAGGCGAGUGGAAUUCCUGGUGUAGCGGUGAAAUGCGCAGAUAUCAGGAGGAACACCAAUGGCGAAGGCAGCUCUCUGGGCCGAUACUGACGCUGAGGAGCGAAAGCGUGGGGAGCGAACAGG